rnacentral:lncRNA from 1 species
GCCCCCAAGUCCCAACUCCAGUGGGUUCGGCCGUCCAAAGACCAACUCCUGUCUUUCCGUUCAGCACUUCAGCCCCCAGCGUCGCCAUGGAUUCGAAGCAGUGAACUCCAAAAGUCGAAAGCCCAUCAAAGGUGAGACCUCCAACCAUUCGACAGUAAGCCCUAAAUGUUUCGCCGACGCAAAUUCUGUUCUUAUCUGCCUAAUAAAUGUUAUUCAAUUGAUUACUUG